rnacentral:rRNA from 1 species
UACGGAGGGUGCGAGCGUUGUUCGGAAUCAUUGGGCGUAAAGCGCGCGCAGGCGGUGGUGUAAGUCUAGAGGUGAAAUGCCGGGGCUCAACCCCGAGCGUGCCUCGGAUACUGCAUCACUGGAGACACGUAGAGGCGAGCGGAAUUCCGGGUGUAGCGGUGGAAUGCGUAGAGAGUCCGGAAGAACACCGGAGGCGAAGGCGGCUCGCUGGGCGUGGUCUGACGCUGAGGCGCGAAGGCGUGGGGAGCGAACAGG